GUGGAAACUGCUGUGCCAGUUUCUUCAGACGAGGCAAGUGGUGGUACGGAAGAAAUGGAAGAAGAGGACCAGCAAGCGAUUGUUUCUGAUGCGGAAACUGUUACGGUUUCCUCGGACGAAGGAGCUGAUGAUGCUGCUCCUCCGUGCCGCGCGAGCAGAGACCUCGCCUCCCCGCUCGCCACCGCCACCUACAACAAGCUACUCACUGAGGUGUCCAAGUACAAGCAGACCACGCCCUAGGUGAUCUUGUCUUCUUGCUUGCUUUUUACCCGUGAGAAUUGAGAUCUCGGGAUGGUGGGUUAUGUGGAUGGAUGGCCCCUGGUUAAGUCUUUUGCUGUGGUGCUCUG